CAAUAAGAGUGUUUAUGGCACUCUUCAAAAAAAUCCAUACCCACCUUGUGUGCAAUGUAAAAAAGGAAGCAACGGGGAAAGAGGUCCCUUGGCGACAAGGCCUGUUUUUCAGCGCGCUUUCUUUUCUUUAUAUACACCUUUAUACAAGUUCCUAUUGUCUGAAGCUGUUAGAGAAUGACUAAUUCUUAAACA
rnacentral:misc_RNA from 1 species